GCCAGGCACGGUGGCACGUGCCUAUAGUCCCAGCUACUCGAGAGGCUGAGGUGGGAGGAUUGCUUGAGUCCAGGAGUUCUGGGCUGUAGUGCGCUAUGCCGAUCGGGUGUCCGCACUAAGUUCGGCAUCAAUAUGGUGACCUCUCGGGAGCGGGGCACCACCAGGUUGCCUAAGGAGGGGUGAACCGGCCCAGGCCGGAAAUGGAGCAGGUCAAAACUCCGGUGCUGAUCAGUAGUGGGAUCGCGCCUGUAAAUAGCCACUGCGCUCCAGCCUGGGCAACAUAGCAGGACCCUGUCUCU
rnacentral:SRP_RNA from 1 species